rnacentral:rRNA from 1 species
AUUGAACGCUGGCGGCAAGCCUAACACAUGCAAGUCGAACGAGCGGCGGACGGGUGAGUAAUGUCUGGGAAACUGCCUGAUGGAGGGGGAUAACUCCUGGAAACGGUAGCUAAUACCGCAUACCAUCGGAUGAGCCCAGAUGGGAUUAGCUAGUAGGUGGGGUAAAGGCUGACCUAGGCGAAGAUCCCUAGCUGGGCUGAGAGGAUGACCAGCCACACUGGAACUGAGACACGGUCCAGAUGCCUACGUGAGGCAGCAGGGGGGAAUAUUGCACAAUGGGCGCAAGCCUGAUGCAGCCAUGCCGAGUGUAUGAAGAAGGCCUUCGGGUUGUAAAGUACUUUCAGUGGGGAGGCGUUACCCACAGAAGAAGCACCGGCUAACUCCGUGCCAGCAGCCGCGGUAAUAC